AAAAUACUACCUCCGUCCUAAAAUUCUUGUCUAAGAUUUGUGUAGAUAUGGAUGUAUCUAACACUAAAACUUGACUAGAUACAUCUAUAUUUAGACAAUAAUUUUAGGACGGAGGGAGUAUUAA
rfam:Hordeum vulgare subsp. vulgare, WGS project CAJW01000000 data, contig: morex_contig_50614